UGGGGAAUAUUGCACAAUGGGCGCAAGCCUGAUUCAGCCAUGCCGCGUGUAUGAAGAAGGCCUUCGGGUUGUAAAGUACUUUCAGCGGGGAGGAAGGCGAUAAGGUUAAUAACCUUGUCGAUUGACGUUACCCGCAGAAGAAGCACCGGCUAACUCCGUGCCAGCAGCCGCGGUAAUACGGAGGGUGCAAGCGUUAAUCGGAAUUACUGGGCGUAAAGCGCACGCAGGCGGUCUGUCAAGUCGGAUGUGAAAUCCCCGGGCUCAACCUGGGAACUGCAUUCGAAACUGGCAGGCUAGAGUCUUGUAGAGGGGGGUAGAAUUCCAGGUGUAGCGGUGAAAUGCGUAGAGAUCUGGAGGAAUACCGGUGGCGAAGGCGGCCCCCUGGACAAAGACUGACGCUCAGGUGCGAAAGCGUGGGGAGCAAACA
rnacentral:rRNA from 1 species